rnacentral:tRNA from 1 species
AGAUAUGAAAAUAUAAGAUUUGCAAUUUUAUUAAGCUUUUGACAAGCCAUAUCUA